UAGAAGCAUCAUCAUUACUUGAUUAUUUGCUCUUUACAACACCGAGCGUGCCCGUACUCGGUAGUUCAAUACCUUGCGUAACCCGUCACUGUGAAUUGGGUUAAUGAUAAUAAAG
rnacentral:sRNA from 1 species